UGUUCUGCACCUGGCCGGGGGGGGGCCAGUUUGGCCUGAAGCUCCGUCUUCUGUCCCCCAUCAAAAUGGUUGGGAAUAUAUUCAAGUUGGGCUGUAGUGGUACAUCAUUCUUGGACUUGUUGAUAUCUGUAGAAAGAUGUACAGUAAACAUGAGCACAACCACAACAUUUAUUUACUUAUGCAUGUAUAUCUGCAUGUAUUUCAAAAUGUAGGCCAAGUAUUUACUU